GCAUAUCAAUAAGCGGAGGAAAAGAAACCAACAGGGAUUGCCUUAGUAACGGCGAGUGAAGCGGCAAUAGCUCAAAUUUGAAAUCUGGCGCCUUUAGGCGUCCGAGUUGUAAUUUGUAGAGGAUGUUUCGGUAUUAGCUCCGGUUUAAGUCCCUUGGAACAGGGCGUCACAGAGGGUGAGAAUCCCGUACGUGACUGGCUGCUUUUGCCAUGUGAAACUCCUUCGACGAGUCGAGUUGUUUGGGAAUGCAGCUCUAAUUGGGAGGUAAAUUUCUUCUAAAGCUAAAUAUUGGCCAGAGACCGAUAGCGCACAAGUAGAGUGAUCGAAAGAUGAAAAGCACUUUGGAAAGAGAGUUAAAAAGUACGUGAAAUUGUUGAAAGGGAAGCGCUUGCAAUCAGACCUGCUUGUAGUUGUUCAUCUAGGCUUUUGUCUAGUGCAUUCUUCUGCAAGUCAGGCCAGUAUCAGUUCGGGCGGUUGGAUAAAGAAUUCAGGAAUGUAGCUCCUUUUGGGGAGUGUUAUAGCCUGUUUUGUAAUGCAACCAGCCCGGAUUGAGGACCGCGCUUCGGCUAGGAUACUGGCGUAAUGGUUGUAAGCGGCCCGUCUUGAAACACGGACCAAGGAGUCUAACAUCUGUGCGAGUGUUUGGGUGCUAAACCCAUACGCGUAAUGAAAGUGAACGGAGGCGGGAACCUUUUUUAGGUGCACCGUCGACCGAUCCUGAUGUCUUCGGAUGGAUUUGAGUAAGAGCAUAGCUGUUGGGACCCGAAAGAUGGUGAACUAUGCUUGAAUAGGGUGAAGCCAGAGGAAACUCUGGUGGAGGCUCGCAGCGGUUCUGACGUGCAAAUCGAUCGUCAAAUUUGGGCAUAGGGGCGAAAGACUAAUCGAACUAUCUAGUAGCUGGGUCCUGCGA
rnacentral:rRNA from 1 species